UUUCACAAUGUUUCAAUCACCAUCAUCAGUGGAUGCCUUUGCUGUCCGUAGCCUGAGAUUUCAGAUUUGCAGCAAAAAAAAUUUGAUUUUCUCAUUUAUUGGAAUGCUGUGCAGGUAUUUGUACCUUGCAGCCAUCCAUUACAAUGUCACCAAGCCGUAACAAAAGCAGGAGAGGGAAAGUACAAGGCUAUGUUCCCAAAACACACAAAUGACAUACCUUAUGUGGAUGAUGUGAUCAGGCUUGUGUUUGAUGAGGUAUUUGAAGAUAAGCUGAAGGAAACCCCGAUUCCAAUGGACCUGGCAUCACAGUUUGAGAGACCUUCAAAGGAGGACGUGAUUGCAUGCCAUCUUCAGUGCAGGGGUCAUCGAAAGCCAAAAUUGUGACCGAUCUGAUCAGGAAGCUCCAAGCGUAUCUGGAGAACAACACACGACAGGAUGAUAACCUUAUAGUGUCGUCUUAGAUAGCAUCAGCUGACAAGGCUUU